AUUAAUUUCAUUCUCCGAGCCGUCACACCUACCGGGCACCAGCCCCACGGUCUGCGGCCAACGGGUGCCGCUGGAAACGGCGGGGCCUCCCUUCUGGAAAGGAGAACGCUUGAUACGCCUU
rnacentral:ncRNA from 1 species